GCCGGGCGAGGUGGCGGGAGCCUGUAGUCCCAGCUACUUGGGAGGCUGAGGCAGGAGAAUGGCGUGAACCCGGGAGGCGGAGCUUGCAGUGAGCUGAGAUCGUGCCACUGCACUCCAGCCUGGGCGACAGAGCGAGACUCCUCCAAAAAAAAAAAAAAAAAAAGUUGUCCUAGGCUGGAGUGCUGUGGCACGAUCUUGGCUCACUGCAAGCUCCACCUCCCGGGUUCAAACGAUUCUCCUACCUCAG
rnacentral:SRP_RNA from 1 species